UUUUCCAUUAAUUUGCUGCUCUAGUCUGUUAGUGAUAAGGAGUGGUUAUAAAUACGAGAUAAAACAAUAUUGGGCCAUUGUACAUGCAGCUGAAGUGUGUUUUGUCUUUUCUACAUGGUCUAGACAGUG